rnacentral:tRNA from 1 species
GUGGUCUUAGUUCAGUUGGUAGAACGCCAGAUUGUGGCUCUGGAGGUCAAGAGUUCGAUUCUCUUAGACCACCCCA